rnacentral:rRNA from 1 species
AUUCGCGAUAGGAUGGGCCCGCGCUACAUUAGCUUGAUGGUGGGGUAAUGGCCUACCAUGGCUACGAUGUAUAGCUGGUCUGAGAGGAUGAUCAGCCACACUGGAACUGAGACACGGUCCAGACUCUACGGGAGGCAGCAGUGGGGAAUAUUGCGCAAUGGAGGAAACUCUGAGCAGCAACGCCGCGUGAGUGAGGAAGGCUUUCGGGUCGUAAAGCUCUGUCAAAUGGGAAGAACCGUAGUUGGUCUAAUAGCCUUCUGCCUGACGGUACCA